AUGCACGCUGGCGGCGUGCCUAAUACAUGCAAGUCGAGCGAACAGACGAGGAGCUUGCUCCUCUGACGUUAGCGGCGGACGGGUGAGUAACACGUGGAUAACCUACCUAUAAGACUGGGAUAACUUCGGGAAACCGGAGCUAAUACCGGAUAAUAUAUUGAACCGCAUGGUUCAAUAGUGAAAGACGGUUUUGCUGUCACUUAUAGAUGGAUCCGCGCCGCAUUAGCUAGUUGGUAAGGUAACGGCUUACCAAGGCAACGAUGCGUAGCCGACCUGAGAGGGUGAUCGGCCACACUGGAACUGAGGCACGGUCCAGACUCCUACGGGAGGCAGCAGUAGGGAAUCUUCCGCAAUGGGCGAAAGCCUGACGGAGCAACGCCGCGUGAGUGAUGAAGGUCUUCGGAUCGUAAAACUCUGUUAUUAGGGAAGAACAAAUGUGUAAGUAACUAUGCACGUCUUGACGGUACCUAAUCAGAAAGCCACGGCUAACUACGUG
rnacentral:rRNA from 1 species